AUUGAACGCUGGCGGCAUGCUUUACACAUGCAAGUCGGACGGCAGCACAGAGAAGCUUGCUUCUUGGGUGGCGAGUGACGAACGGGUGAGUAAUAUAUCGGAACGUACCGAGUAAUGGGGGAUAACUAAUCGAAAGAUUAGCUAAUACCGCAUAUUCUCUGAGGAGGAAAGCAGGGGACCUUCGGGCCUUGCGUUAUUCGAGCGGCCGAUAUCUGAUUAGCUAGUUGGUGGGGUAAAGGCCUACCAAGGCGACGAUCAGUAGCGGGUCUGAGAGGAUGAUCAGCCACACUGGGACUGAGACACGGCCCAGACUCCUACGGGAGGCAGCAGUGGGGAAUUUUGGACAAUGGGCGCAAGCCUGAUCCAGCCAUGCCGCGUGUCUGAAGAAGGCCUUCGGGUUGUAAAGGACUUUUGUCAGGGAAGAAAAGGCUGUUGCUAAUACCGACAGCUGAUGACGGUACCUGAAGAAUAAGCACCGGCUAACUACGUG
rnacentral:rRNA from 1 species